GACGAACGCUGGCGGCGUGCUUAACACAUGCAAGUCGAACGAUGAUCCGGUUUCGGCCGGGGAUUAGUGGCGAACGGGUGAGUAACACGUGGGCAAUCUGCCUUGCAAUCUGGGACAAGCCCUGGAAACAGGGUCUAAUACCGGAUACGAACCCCAACCGCAUGGUGGGUGGUGGAAAGCGUUUAGUGGUGCAGGAUGAGCCCGCGGCCUAUCAGCUUGGUGGUGGGGUGAUGGCCUACCAAGGCGACGACGGGUAGCCGGCCUGAGAGGGCGACCGGCCACACUGGGACUGAGACACGGCCCAGACUCCUACGGGAGGCAGCAGUGGGGAAUAUUGCACAAUGGGCGGAAGCCUGAUGCAGCGACGCCGCGUGAGGGAUGACGGCCUUCGGGUUGUAAACCUCUUUCAGCAGGGAAGAAGCGAGAGUGACGGUACCUGCAGAAGAAGCACCGGCUAACUACGUGCCAGCAGCCGCGGUAA
rnacentral:rRNA from 1 species